rnacentral:misc_RNA from 1 species
GAGAGAACAAGAAUUAGAGAGAAAUUAAUUGUUGUAUUAUUAAAUUGAUGAUUGGCUGUAUCCAAUGCAAUAUCUAUUUAUAUAAUUUUAUUCUCAUAUUCGUUCUCAACUUCCUAUUCUCUGUAACUGAUCACUAACUACUUCCCACAGCUCUCCAUCUUGUUGCUCAUAUAUAAAUAUAAUGCUUCCAGUUUUAUUGGUCUUUCAGUAAAUGCAUGAGUUGCACUAUGCUGUAUCGUCAUUGUUACACAGGAUCAGCAGCUGCAAGCUUGAAAAACGUCAAAAUGGAGGAUUUUUCAUGAACUUGUACUGGUCUCUAUUAUCUGGCAUAAGCAUCAUUUUUUACUUGCCCGGCUGAGAACCUCUUAGAACUUGCAGUGAAAAAGUCACCGUGCACUAGAACAGCUUUAAAGCAAUCUGUGAGUCUUAAGCUAUAUUGCAAAGAACACUAUACCAUCUCAUUUCUUGAAACGCCAAGCUCAUAGUAUUUGAAUCUCUGGUUUCUGUCUGAAAAAUUCUACAUUUCAUGAUGAAGAUAUUACUCAUUUUCAAUUUUAGUACACAGGAGCAUAUGCUUUUUAUUGAUUUAUUGAUGUAAUUGACUGGGGAAGACAGUAUGAGUGCACUUCUACAGUUUUGAGUCAAGAUGAAGCUAUGCUUAUUCUGUAUUUG